UACGUAGGGUGCGAGCGUUAAUCGGAAUUACUGGGCGUAAAGCGUGCGCAGGCGGUUCGCCAAGUCCGGUGUGAAAUCCCCGGGCUUAACCUGGGAAUUGCGCUUGAAACUAGCGGGCUUGAGUGUGGCAGAGGGGGGUGGAAUUCCACGUGUAGCAGUGAAAUGCGUAGAGAUGUGGAGGAACACCGAUGGCGAAGGCAGCCCCCUGGGUCAACACUGACGCUCAGGCACGAAAGCGUGGGGAGCAAACAGG
rnacentral:rRNA from 1 species